CUGGAUAAUUGGGUUUCUUGUCACC
rnacentral:piRNA from 1 species